CCCCAGAUGUUGCUGAACUACAACUCCCAUGAUUCUUUCAAUUAAAAAGGGGAAUCGUGGAAGUUGUAGUUCAGCAAUAUCUGGG